AGCCACUACUGCCACCUCGCUCGCUAAAGUUUUGCCAACCGACGUUACGUCUCUGUUGUGUUGAAGACUGGACUGGCGAAGUUAUGAAUUUACUUGUAACUCCGAGUUAUUGCAGUUUGUGAGCGGAGCGGACAACUGAUCCGAGGAGCACAGGCAUACAAGUAUGUCCAUCCUAAACUACUGUUAACAUCCUUCUUCAAAGAGCCGACGGAUUCUCUGUUCAUUCUGGCUGAUGUCACUACAACCCUGGCAGACAUCGAGGGGGAAGAGAGUCUUCCAGACACACCCAGAAUAAUUAUGCUUGAAGCGCAUUUUGGAGGUCACACACUGAUGUUGGACGAGGCGACUGGCUCUCAGGAUCCGCUCUAAUUCAUCCCAAAGGUGUUCUAUUGAGUUGAGGUCAGGACCCUGUGCAGGCCAGUCAAGUUCAUCCAGACCAAACUCUGUUAUCCAUGCCUUUAUGGACCUUGCUUUGUGCACUGGUGCACCGUCAUGUUGGAACAGGAAGGGGCCAUCCCCGAGCUGGGCUUGGUCCCUUAGUUCCAGUGAAAGGAACUUUGAAUGCUUUAGCAUUAACCAAGAGAUUUUGGACAAUUUUAAGCUCCCAACUUUGUGAGAAGUGUGUGUGUGUGUGUGUGUGUGUGUGUGUGUGUGUGUGUGUGUGUGUGUGUGUGUGUGUGUGUGUGUGUGUGUGUGUGUGUGUGUGUGUGUGUGUGUGUGUGUGGCAGCCAGAGCCAUAGAGGGAUUGUGUUCUCUACCUUUUGUGACAGCAGUGAUGUUUUUUUAAUUACAUGUUAAAUGCAAUAAUAUGAGU